UCCAGACUCCUACGGGAGGCAGCAGUGGGGAAUAUUGCACAAUGGGCGAAAGCCUGAUGCAGCAACGCCGCGUGGAGGAUGAAGGUUUUCGGAUUGUAAACUCCUUUUGUUAGAGAAGAAAAUGACGGUACCUGACUAAGAAGCCCCGGCUAACUACGUGCCAGCAGCCGCGGUAAUACGUAGGGGGCAAGCGUUAUCCGGAUUUACUGGGUGUAAAGGGAGCGUAGACGGCCAGACAAGUCUGAAGUGAAAAUCCAGCGCUUAACGUUGGAAGUGCUUUGGAAACUGCCGGGCUAGAGUGCAGGAGGGGCAGGCGGAAUUCCUAGUGUAGCGGUGAAAUGCGUAGAUAUUAGGAGGAACACCAGUGGCGAAGGCGGCCUGCUGGACUGCAACUGACGUUGAGGCUCGAAGGCGUGGGGAGCAAACAGGAUUAGAUACCCUUGUAGU
rnacentral:rRNA from 1 species